rnacentral:rRNA from 1 species
GAUGAACGCUGGCGGCGUGCCUAAUACAUGCAAGUAGAACGCAGUUGCGAACGGGUGAGUAACGCGUCGGUAACUGCCUCAUAGCGGGGGAUAACUAUUGGAAACGAUAGCUAAUACCGCAUACUGUGAGCUGGACCUGCGUUGCAGUAGCUAGUUGGGGAGGUAAAGGCUAACCAGGGCGACGAUACAUAGCAGACCUGAGAGGGUGAUCGGCAAAACGGGGACUGAGACACGGCCCAGACUCCUCCGGGGGGCAGCAGGAGGAAAUUUUCGGCAAGGGACGAAAGUCUGACCGAGCAACGCCGCGUGAGUGAAGAAGGUUUUCGGAUCGUAAAACUUUGUUGUUAGAGAAGCGGUAUCUAACCAGAAAGCCACGGCUAACUACGUGCAAGCAGCCGCGGUAAUC